rnacentral:ncRNA from 1 species
AGGCGGUCGGCGAACUCCGACCCCGGACGAGGUAGACCAGUACCCGGUGAGCGAAAAGACUGGUCCGG